GGCACCCCAGGGGGGAAUCGCGAAAUGAAGGAAACUUCAAGGAAUGUCAUGGCAGCUGUCCCAGAGCCCCAUUAGCUCUCUUCCACUGUCAUGAUCCUAUGAUGAAUAUACUGUUGGGUUGGAAUCUGGAGCCUUGGGUCACUUGAAAAAUGUCAUGGAAGGGGGAAGAAAAUGGAAAAAAUUGAGUCAGGGUUGGCUCAUCUCCGGUCAACUGUGACGCAACUUCCAGAUCUCCAGGGGCCUGCACGGCGAGGAGGAGGGUGAA